UCCGUCUGCCACUGGCGCGACCGGUCCUACACCUACACCUACACCUCCGUGAUGACGGUAAGUUUCCCAAGUGUUUUGCUUAAUAGAGUUUUGUUAUGAUGCCAUGUUGUAUCUACACAUAUCGUGCAUAAUGUGUGUAUGUUUGUAAUGCAUUGUAUGUGUGGGAUUCGACACCUAGUCGUGUGGCUUUGGUAGCCUUCCAUACAGGGAAAUGCCUCCUAGUGCUUCCACUGAGCCAUGGUAGUUCUCUACUGCUCCGGAACACAUGGAUUGACCGGCAUGUGUCCUUCUUUGCUCCUGUGUCUGUCCCUACGGGGAAAUGUCACGCGAUGUAUCACCGAAGUCCUUGUAGCUUGCUACGACUUGGUUGCACUCGCUGAUGACCGACACGUGCAUUGCUGGGUCAUGUAUGUCUGUCCCUGUAUGUUUGUGCCACCUUGGUUCUAUGACUAGUCAUGUCGGCCCGGGUUCUCUGCCAUAUGGAUACUAGCGACAUAAUCAUAUACUUCGCAUUUUUUCCUCCAAAAUGACUCAAUAUGCUUAGCUAGCUCAAAAAUGACAUAAUAAGCUUAAUUAGCUCCCAAAUGACAUAUUUAACCUAGGAUAGCUCUAAAAUGACCUAUACUUAGCAUUUUUCCUCCAAAAUGACUUAAUAUGCUUAGCUAGCUUAAAAAUGUUAUAUUUAACCUAGGAUAGCUCUAAAAUGACCUAUACUUAGCAUCUUUUCCUCCAAAAUGACUUAAUAUGCCUAGCUAGCUCUAAAAUGAUAUAAUAUGCUUAAGAAAUGACAUAUUUUAGGUCCUAAAUGACUUCAUAUACUUAGCUAGCUCCAAAAUGACAUAAUAACCUUACUUAGCUUCAAAAUGACAUAUUCAACCUAGGCUAGCUCUAAAAUGACCUAUACUUAGCAUUUUUUUUCCUCCAAAAUGACUUAAUAUGCUUAGCUAGCUCAAAAAUUACAUAAUAAUCUUAAUUAGCUCCAAAAUGACCUAUUUGACCUAGGAUAGCUCUAAAAUGACCUAUACUUAGCAUUUUUUCCUCCAAAAUGACUUAAUAUGCUUAGCUAGCUUCAAAAUGACCUAUACUUAGAAUCUUUUCCUCCAAAAUUAGUUAAUAUACUUAACUAGCUCUAAAAUGACAUAAUAUGCUUAAGAAAUGACAUAGUUUAGCUCCUAAAUGACUUCACAUGCUUAGCUAGCUCCAAAAUGACAUAAUAAGCUUAAUUAGCUCCAAAAUGACAUAUUUAACCUAGGAUAGCUCUAAAAUGACCUAUACUUAGCAUUUUUUCUCCAAAAUGACUUAAUAUGCUUAGCUAGCUUAAAAAUGACCUAUUUAACCUAGGAUAGCUCUAAAAUGACCUAUACUUAGCAUUUUUUCCUCCAAAAUGACUUAAUAUGCUUAGCUAGCUUAAAAAUGACCUAUUUAACCUAGGAUAGCUCUAAAAUGACCUAUACUUAGCAUCUUUUCCUCCAAAAUGACUUAAUAUGCUUAGCUAACUCUAAAAUGACAUAAUAUGCUUAAGAAAUGACAUAUUUUAGCUCCUAAAUGACUUCACAUGCUUAGCUAGCUCCAAAAUGACAUAAUAAACUUACUUAGCUCUAGAAUGACCUUAGCAUGUUUUACACCAAAAUGACUUAGUAUGCUUAGCUAGCUCAAAAAUGACAUAAUAACCAUACUUAGCUCCAAAAUGAGCUAUUUUACAGAUAUAAGUUGCAUCAUAAUAAUCUUCACAUUUUAGUUGCAUCAUAAUAAUCUUCUUCUUCUAGUCUUCUUCUUCUAACUUUCUUCUUUCCCAUUUUACAGAUUUGCUUAAGAUCAUGGAAGCUUGGGUUGAUGGAGUGCUUGUAUUUAGUUUUUGUUUUGACCUUGUGAAACUUGCUACCUAUGGAUGAAACUGUGUAAUAUUGAUGAAACUAUGUAUAUGUACAGAUGAAACUUGCUACUAUUGGUAACAUGUGUUGGAUACAUAUGUGUUCAUGACUAUUGGUAAU
rnacentral:lncRNA from 1 species